UACGUAGGGUGCAAGCGUUAAUCGGAAUUACUGGGCGUAAAGCGUGCGCAGGCGGUGAUGUAAGACAGUUGUGAAAUCCCCGGGCUCAACCUGGGAACUGCAUCUGUGACUGCAUUGCUGGAGUGCGGCAGAGGGGGAUGGAAUUCCGCGUGUAGCAGUGAAAUGCGUAGAUAUGCGGAGGAACACCGAUGGCGAAGGCAAUCCCCUGGGCCUGCACUGACGCUCAUGCACGAAAGCGUGGGGAGCAAACGGG
rnacentral:rRNA from 1 species